GAGCGGAUGAAAGGAGCUUGCUCCUGGAUUCAGCGGCGGACGGGUGAGUAAUGCCUAGGAAUCUGCCUGGUAGUGGGGGACAACGUUUCGAAAGGAACGCUAAUACCGCAUACGUCCUACGGGAGAAAGCAGGGGACCUUCGGGCCUUGCGCUAUCAGAUGAGCCUAGGUCGGAUUAGCUAGUUGGUGAGGUAAUGGCUCACCAAGGCGACGAUCCGUAACUGGUCUGAGAGGAUGAUCAGUCACACUGGAACUGAGACACGGUCCAGACUCCUACGGGAGGCAGCAGUGGGGAAUAUUGGACAAUGGGCGAAAGCCUGAUCCAGCCAUGCCGCGUGUGUGAAGAAGGUCUUCGGAUUGUAAAGCACUUUAAGUUGGGAGGAAGGGCAGUAAAUUAAUACUUUGCUGUUUUGACGUUACCGACAGAAUAAGCACCGGCUAACUCUGUGCCAGCAGCCGCGGUAAUACAGAGGGUGCAAGCGUUAAUCGGAAUUACUGGGCGUAAAGCGCGCGUAGGUGGUUUGUUAAGUUGGAUGUGAAAUCCCCGGGCUCAACCUGGGAACUGCAUCCAAAACUGGCAAGCUAGAGUAUGGUAGAGGGUGGUGGAAUUUCCUGU
rnacentral:rRNA from 1 species